UACGGAGGAUCCAAGCGUUAUCCGGAUUCAUUGGGUUUAAAGGGUGCGUAGGCGGAAUGAUAAGUCAGUGGUGAAAGCCUGCAGCUUAACUGCAGAACUGCCAUUGAUACUGUCAAUCUUGAGUACAUUUGAUGUGGGCGGAAUGUGUCAUGUAGCGGUGAAAUGCUUAGAUAUGACACAGAACACCGAUUGCGAAGGCAGCUCACAAAACUGUAACUGACGCUGAGGCACGAAAGCGUGGGUAUCAAACAGG
rnacentral:rRNA from 1 species